AUUGUUUUGAGGGUUGUUGGGAGUAUGUUGGCAUUUAGCUUAAGUAUUUUAGAUGCCAGGAAGAGUUACUUAACACUAAAUCUGUAAUGUUCAGAUUACAGUGUCGAGUACCGGUACUUGAGUGUGGUACCAGUACCUCAGAGGGUUGCCUAAUUGCGUAGCUCUCGAGUUUGAGAACUAGAGCUGGGUACCGGUAAUGCAUUGAGCUUGUACCGGUACGCUGUAUUAAACUCAACUGAGCAACGCUUGGGUUUUAGCUGUUUUGAUGCUAGGUACCAGUACCUCAACCAGAGUACCGGUACUCGAUGUGGUAGAAUGAGUUGGUAAGGGAGUUUUUUGGUAAUUUUGCAGUGAUGAUUAUCCUUUUAAAGCCCAAACCGACCCCCAGCUAGUUUUCUCUGUGCUAUAGCUUGGAGAAAAACAGGAAGGGAAGAAGGAGAUCCUACAGAGGAGAGUUUCCAAUCUCAAAUCAAGAAUGAGCUUGGCUUGGAGCUUUGAAAAGGUUGGAAUUGGUGUGCCCAACCUGAAGUGAAGUAUAGGUUAAAGCCUUGUUCUAAUCAAGGUUGCUGGGAGGCUACCAAGCACCUUCACUCGUGUGAUCGAAAGGAGUCAAUGAGUAUUUGAGUCAUCCACAGCGGGAGAGGCUAGGGACCGCAACAAGGGAGUCGCGUCUAGCUAGGCAUAGCUCGGAGUCCUGCUAAGUGAUUACCUUUUUUUUUGAGUGAGUUGGAGAGUUUCAUGUAUCUCUGUAUAGAGACCACUACCUGUAUAGAGCUGGUUAUUUGAGACUAGGGGUGUAAACGAGCCAAACACGAGCAAGCUGGGGUCGGCUCGUGUUCGGCUCGUUUAUUAAA